CCUACGGGGGGCAGCAGUGAGGAAUAUUGGUCAAUGGGCGAGAUCCUGAACCAGCCAAGUCGCGUGAGGGAAGACGGCCCUACGGGUUGUAAACCUCUUUUGUCGGAGAACAAAACGCGGGACGUGUCCCGGAUUGCGAGUACCCGAAGAAAAAGCAUCGGCUAACUCCGUGCCAGCAGCCGCGGUAAUACGGAGGAUGCGAGCGUUAUCCGGAUUUAUUGGGUUUAAAGGGUGCGUAGGCGGUCCUGUAAGUCAGCGGUAAAAUUGCGGGGCUCAACCCCGUCGUGCCGUUGAAACUGGAUGACUUGAGUGGGCGAGAAGUACGCGGAAUGCGCGGUGUAGCGGUGAAAUGCAUAGAUAUCACGCAGAACUCCGAUUGCGAAGGCAGCAUACCGGCGCCAAACUGACGCUGAGGCACGAAAGCGUGGGGAUCGAACAGGAUUAGAUACCCUUGUAGUC
rnacentral:rRNA from 1 species